CGUAAACAAAGGGAAGCGAGCCUGUGAAGGGGAGCAAAUCCCAAAAAUAACGUCCCAGUUCGGAUUGUAGUCUGCAACCCGACUACAUGAAGCUGGAAUCGCUAGUAAUCGCGGAUCAGAAUGCCGCGGUGAAUACGUUCCCGGGUCUUGUACACACCGCCCGUCACACCAUGGGAGUCGGAAAUGCCCGAAGCCGGUGACCCAACCAAAAGGAGGGAGCCGUCGAAGGCAGGUCUGAUAACUGGGGUGAAGUCGUAACAAGGUAUC
rnacentral:rRNA from 1 species